rnacentral:rRNA from 1 species
AGCGUAGGCGGACUUUUAAGUGAGAUGUGAAAUACCCGGGCUCAACUUGGGUGCUGCAUUUCAAACUGGAAGUCUAGAGUGCAGGAGAGGAGAAUGGAAUUCCUAGUGUAGCGGUGAAAUGUGUAGAGAUUAGGAAGAACACCAGUGGCGAAGGCGAUUCUCUGGACUGUAACUGACGCUGAGGCUGAAAGCGUGGGGAGCAAACA